GGGGGGGUGGCACAGUGGGAGUGUUGCGCUUGGAAAUCUGUGCAUGGGCUGCAUAAGUUGUCGGUUCGAAUCCGGCCCUCCUCA
rnacentral:tRNA from 1 species